rnacentral:misc_RNA from 1 species
UAAGAACACGAGGCUGGCGCCGUCGCCUUUUUCUUUUGCCUUCUCUUUCUGCUUUUACGGUUUACGGUAAGCGGUCUCAACUCCAAAAUAUCGAAUCUCUGUUUCUCUUUCUCUCGAUUCGAAUCCAGGUCCACCCAAUACCCAAUCGGCUCCUCUACGGUUCUCUGCAGAUAGGGUUUACUGGAUUUGGAUGGGUACGGAGAGGAAGAGAAAAGUGAGCUUGUUUGACGUGGUGGACGAGACUUCGAUCUCCGGGAAGAUAUCGAAAAUGAACGGCGCUGGUGGAACGCCGAUGAACAACAACGGAAACAACAACAAUUUGAUAAAUCGGUGGACUGGGAAGCCUUAUUCACAGCGAUACUAUGAAAUAUUGGAGAAGAGGAGGACUCUGCCCGUUUGGCACCAAAUGGAGGAUUUCUUGACGGCUUUGAAGAAAAACCAGGUCCUUGUUCUUGUCGGUGAGACUGGUAGUGGAAAAACUACUCAGAUUCCUCAGUUUGUUUUGGAAGCUGUUGACAUAGAAACACCUGAUAAACGUAGGAAGAUGAUGAUUGGAUGCACUCAGCCUCGUAGAGUGGCUGCAAUGUCUGUUUCUCGACGUGUGGCGGAGGAGAUGGAUGUGAAUAUUGGUGAAGAGGUCGGUUAUAGCAUCCGUUUUGAGGACUGUAGCAGUGCAAGAACAGUUUUGAAGUAUUUAACUGAUGGUAUGCUUUUAAGAGAGGCAAUGACUGAUCCUCUUUUGGAAAGAUACAAAGUCAUAAUUCUUGAUGAAGCUCAUGAAAGAACUUUGGCAACAGAUGUGUUAUUUGGACUUCUUAAAGAAGUUCUAAGAAAUAGACAUGAUUUGAAGCUAGUUGUGAUGAGUGCAACACUAGAGGCGGAGAAGUUUCAGGGUUAUUUUAAUGAUGCACCUCUGAUGAGAGUUCCUGGUAGACUUCAUCCAGUGGAGAUUUUCUAUACCCAGGAACCUGAAAGGGAUUACCUUGAGGCAGCAAUUCGUACAGUUGUUCAGAUACAUAUGUAUGAACCUACUGGGGACAUACUUGUUUUCCUCACAGGUGAGGAGGAGAUAGAAGAUGCAUGCCGGAAAAUAACAAAAGAGAUCGGAAAUUUGGGGGACCAGGUGGGGCCAGUGAAAGCAGUGCCUUUGUAUUCAACUCUUCCACCUGCCAUGCAGCAGAAAAUUUUUGAAUCUGCACCACCCCCAUUGACAGAAGGUGGCCCUGCUGGAAGGAAGAUUGUGGUUUCAACAAACAUAGCAGAAACUUCUUUGACCAUAGACGGCAUUGUUUAUGUUAUUGACCCAGGCUUUGCUAAGCAAAAGGUUUAUAACCCACGAGUGCGUGUUGAAUCCUUGUUGGUUUCCCCAAUAUCAAAGGCAAGUGCUCAUCAGAGGUCUGGCCGUGCUGGAAGAACUCAGCCUGGCAAAUGUUUCAGACUUUACACAGAGAAAAGUUUUAAUCAAGAUCUUCAGCCACAGACGUAUCCUGAAAUAUUGCGAUCAAACCUUGCAAAUGCAGUUCUAACACUGAAGAAACUUGGAAUUGAUGAUCUGGUUCAUUUUGAUUUUAUGGACCCGCCUGCUCCUGAGACAUUGAUGCGGGCAUUAGAGAUGCUAAAUUACCUGGGAGCAUUGGAUGAUGAUGGAAACUUGACAAAGCUUGGGGAAAUCAUGAGUGAGUUUCCUUUGGAUCCUCAGAUGGCAAAGAUGCUGGUGGUUAGUCCCGAAUUCAACUGCUCAAAUGAGAUUUUGUCAAUUUCUGCAAUGCUUUCAGGUACUGCCAGUUGCUAUCUUUUUUCUUUAUAUUUGUCUCGAGUCUGGUCUAAAUAAUAAGUUGAUGCCAUGGGGUUGCAUUAUCAUUCAAUGCAUCCUUUCAUAUAUGGUAUGUGCACAGUGCUUUUUUUCUGUGCAUUUGUUGGUUUUUUGACUGCUUACAUGUGUAUGCAAGCAUAUGCAUGCAUGCAGUUGAAGAAUUGGUGUGUCCGAUUAGGUUGUCAUCAGCCAGUGUCUUGUAUGGGUUCCAUGCCCCCGGUUGGCAUGCACCAUCAGAUUCUAAGUAAGUGCUGAUGCUGAUAGUUGCAGUUUCUCAGUAUUAUCUCAUGAAGCAAAUGGUGUCGUCUCGCCUGUAUGCAUCUGCUGACCUACAAUGGGCCUCUUCUGUGAUAACCAAAUUCUUUCUUUAGUACCCAAUUGCUUUGUCCGCCCUAGGGAGGCUCAAAAGGCUGCUGACGAAGCAAAAGCUAGGUUUGGUCACAUAGAUGGGGAUCACCUGACGCUGUUGAAUGUGUACCAUGCAUACAAGCAGAACAAUGAGGAUUCAUCUUGGUGCUAUGAAAAUUUUAUCAACCAUCGAGCUCUCAAGGCUGCUGAUAAUGUAAGACAACAGCUUGUACGCAUCACGAUGAGGUUUAACCUUAAGUUAUGCAGCACCGACUUCAACAGCCGCGACUACUAUGUCAACAUAAGAAAGGCUAUGCUAGCUGGAUAUUUUAUGCAGGUUGCUCACCUGGAACGCACUGGGCACUACCUUACAGUGAAAGACAAUCAAGUAUGUUAAUUUGUUUCAAUUCAUCCUUUUUUGUUGCUAACAAGCUAGACUGGGAUGGAGCCUGGAGGUUUAGUUGUUUAGAUUUGAUCCUUUUUGUUACUUUCUACAAUUUUCAUAGAGGAUUUGGGAGAAAUAUGAAAUUUAUUUACUCUUUUGGUAUUACAUUUUUUCCAGUGAUGCACUGUAAUAGUUUGGUUAUAUGAGGGAGGAGCAUAAAGUGACAUCAUCUCUUGAUAAUUUAUUCUGCAGGUGGUGCAUUUGCAUCCUUCAAAUUGUCUGGACCACAAGCCAGAGUGGGUUAUUUAUAAUGAGUAUGUCCUAACAAGCCGGAAUUUUAUUCGGACGGUGACAGAUAUUCGCGGUGAAUGGUUAGUCUCUGUUUCCUGUUGGCUGCUUCUUUUUAUUUUUUUGUUUCUUUUUUGGGUGGGAAGGAUGUGUGUGAUAAUGCUCUUUGAAUUUUUUCGCAUUUGCACUCAGAUUGCUGGGUAGAGUCUGUGAUUAAAUGUCUUUCAUGUACAGGCUAGUAGACAUAGCACCACACUACUAUGAUCUAGACAACUUUCCAAAUUGUGAGGCCAAGCGAGUUCUGGAGAAGCUUUAUAGAAAGCGGGAGAGAGAGAAGGAAGAGAGCAAGAACAGAAAGUGAGAUAUGCACUAUAUGAAUCUUUCGAAUUAUCCAAUAUUUCUUCCUCAGGGGCGAAGUGAGAAGGUGCUUGUGAAAACUUAGAUGACAAAGGGUCCGCUCAGUGGUUUCCGUUCAGCUGGCCAAGCUCCCUGUACUUGUUAGAAUAGUAGGUUUAGCUGUCAUCAUUUUCUAUUGUACCUUCAGCAUUCAACAUUUAUUUCAUUGCUAUUCAAAGCUCAGUUGAACAUUUGAAAAAAGAACAGGUUUGAAUGUGGGCGAUCUUUCUCUUCUUUCCUCUUUUGUCUUUUUCUUCCACUUAGAUAGUAAAUGCCUGAUUGGCUACCAUGCAGUCCUUGUUAAAAUCCCCUAGCUAUGUGGUAAUGGUGUGUAGAUUGUUGUUACAUUGUCAGAUAUGAGAUUCAUCGUUAUGGACAGAAUGCUAUAUUAAGUAUUAACCAGUCUUGGAAAUUGAAUUCUCAAGUAAAUAGGUUCUUCCUUCAAAAACGCUUUGUUUUAGGCACUUAUGGCACAAUGGAAGAUACAGGAAAUGACUCAAAUGGGAGAGAGAGGAGAAGAUAAUGCAGAGCUUGCACAAUUAUAUCCUUUUGAACGCCGGUGAGGUUUUUGAGAUUGGCCGUUGAGAAGGUGUGGAUGUGGCGGGAAUAUUUUAGAUGACGGCCUUUCUCAAACGUUCCCAUGUUGAGCUCCUCGGCUUAAUGCUACUGCGCCGUCUGGGUGCCCUUGCGAAGUAUGCGUUGGAAUGUGGUCAAUGAACAGCUAUUACGCUCAUAAACAAACCAUUUAAUCAAAGAAGUUACCGGCGGUGUAAUUCGUACAACUGUCAGUACGCAAAGGAUUUGUUUUUUCUUUUAUCUGUUUUAUAAAAAAUCAAGUAUCAAUUUCAUUAAUAAACAAAUAUCUCUCAUUUUUUCAAUUAUUUAAAAUAUAAAUUUUU